CUUAAGUUUCGGCUGCACUGCCUUGUGGGUCCUGGGGCAGCGCAGCAUCAGGUGGUUACAGCGGUCUCUCUGCUCCGCUGUAACUCCGCCCCCUCAUCAAUAUUUACCUCCAUUCAUUCUAAAGCUCCUUGCCCGGUGACGUCACCGGACUGGAGGGGCGGGGCUCAGCGCAAUGUCGGCCAGCCUAGUUACCGCCCCUCCAUCCACUCGGCAUAAAUUACUUAUGCUGCCAGUGACGACACCGGGCUCGCUGAGCAGCGGAAGAGGAAGCUUAGCUUGCCUGCAAGGGACCUAGUACGUCAAUGAGGAGAAGAAAACAGUAACUUCCGGCCAUGAAUUUCAAAGAUGAAAAUGGGGCUGCAGAAAUCUGAGCCAAAGGUACUACAUGCUUGUAUGUAAUGUGUAUGCCACACUUGUACUAUUAGAGCAAUGUCCCCAAUCCCGGACAACCCCUUUAAUAACUUUCCCGGAUAUUUAUAUUGAUGGCUUAUCCUCAGGAU